GCAUAUAAUAGUCAGAGUCACCUCUAGUGACUUAUAUGACAUAUUCAUAUCUCAUCACAUAUCUCAUUAGUUAACUAAUAUCGUAUACUUACUUGAAUUUACCUAAACUUACCUGAACUUACAUGAACUUACCUGUGUGUCCUGCGUACCUUUGCACUUCAGAGCGUUCACAGCACCACAAUUAUAUAUAUGCAAACAAUUCAACUCAUCGUUUAAGCAUUAUUCAAUAGGCAUGACAUUUUUAAAGCAUAAAUCAUUUAAUUGCGUUUUCCAGGAAAAACAUCAAGCGUAUACAUAUAUACAUAAAACCAAAAGCCCACAAACAUUGCUUAAUUCCUUAAACAAGGCUAUGGUCUCGACUAUUUAAUCUCAUUUCUUAUAUGGCUGCAUCUAACGUCUCAUUAGACUGCCUAAGUACCCUAAACAGGGAUCAAGCCAUUUGUAGUUCGCAACAAUCAUUUAUAGUAAUACGCAUAUGGAUAGAUCACAAUGAAAUCUAACUCAACCAUCUCAUAGUAUUUUAUAACAUAUAAAUAUACAUAUGUCAUGGCAUAAGUUCUCAGUUUUAUUUAAAAGCAUUUAUAGAAUUAUCAAGGGUAAAUUACAUAGUAGUCCCUCAGGUUUGAGGUCUAUUACAACCCCAUACAACAUCUUUAAAAUAUUUCAUUUUCAUACCUCAAAUACUAUUUUAUUUCAAAAUAAUACAACUGUUACAUUUUCCAUCCAUUGAUCCAUUAAGCACUGACGUGGC
rnacentral:lncRNA from 1 species